rnacentral:rRNA from 1 species
GUGUAGGCAUGGAGCUACCCUCAGCUGAUGAUCAGCUAGUGCUCAGUCACCGCCCGAUCCAUCGGUCUACCUGUACGAUGAGGAAGAUGUCCACGGUUGCGGGCGCUGCUUUGUUGCUAGCCGCCGCGGUCGUCUGCUCCUCGGCGGACAGCGAGAGAGUCCCCGCGGUGUACGUGUUCGGCGACUCCCUCGUGGACGUCGGCAACAACGACUUCCUGCCGCCGCCGGCGCCCAGGGCGGGUUUCCCCUGCGGCGUCGACCUGCCGCGCGCGAUCCCCGGCGGACGGACCGGGAGGUUCACCAACGGCUACAACCUGGCCGACAUCAUCGCACAACGGGUGGGGUUUGACAUGAGCCCGUUAGCUUACCUCUCCUUGACGCCGCAAGCGAGCCUCGACCUCCUGAGCGGCCGCGUUGGGGCCAAUUAUGCUUCUGGUGGAUCAGGAAUCCUUGACGAUACUGUAUGUGUGUACAAAUGUACAUAAUUUAGAACCUGCACUUACUUCGCUCGAGUCACCAUCCACACACAGUAUGAUUUUGCCCAAUCAACACCUCUUAUUUCUGCACAUAUCUUAGUUCGUUAUGUUUAUCAGCAGUGCAAAUUAGACCCUGAAGUCUGAAGAGGGUGACUACUUGUUGUGAAUUAAGCUUGAUUGACUUUUACUAUCUUGGUUCAAGAUAGAUGAUGUGCUAUAAAGCAUGCAGUAAAGCUUCUCUAACUUUGACAUUCAAAUGUAAAAAUAUUAUUGUGACUUGUCAAAUGGAAACAAUAUCAUCAGGAUUUUCAUAAAAAUAUGUUAUAAUUCUCAAAUUUUAAUUUUAUUUCUGACAUAUUGGUAUGAACCAAAUUAACUGCAUUUUGGAGAAUGUGUCCAUGUUUUCAGUUGCAUGUGGCCUCUGCCUUACAAAAUGUAGGGGAACGGCACGAUCACGCUCCGAGAACAGAUUAAGAUGUUUGCGGACACCAAGGCGACCAUGAUCGAGGCCAACAAGCUGGGAAAUAAUAGGGUCAAUCGCUUGUUGUCCCAGUCCCUAUUCCUCAUCAGCACUGCAGGCAACGACUUCUUGGCGUUUGGCGACGGUAGGGCAACCAGAAGUGAUGCAUCAGCCUACAUCGCCAAAAUGGUCACCACCUACCUCAAGCACAUCAAGGUAGGUUCAUGUGAGCAACAGGAGGUUAAAAAUCUUGUCUCGUAUUACGGGAGAUCUCAGUGACAUUUGAGUUCAGAUAAACCUUAUCAGUAUAUCCAUCUCAAUGUCAAGGAUGUUAUCUUGACUUGACUGUUUUCAUAACAUUUUGCCAGAAUACCAAAAGAACCACACAUGUUUAAAUGAAAUCUCUUUGACCCUCAUAAUUUCGAACGCACGGAUGCACACGCACGAUAUGUGAGCAGGAGUUGUACAGGCUGGGGGCACGGAGGCUAGGACUGCUGGACGCGCUACCCAUCGGAUGCUUGCCGGGCUGCAGAACUUCCUUUGGACACGAUGGCGCGUGUGACGCCGUUGCCAACUCUCUGGCACGGCGGUUCAACGCCCUACUCCGGCUUGAAAUGGCCAGCGCCACGGCAGCUUCGAUGCCAUGCAUGGAGUACUCCAUCGCCAGCAUCUACGGCAUCUUCUCCGACAUGAUCACCAACCUGGAGCUGGACAACGGACUGCAGGAGGCGACUAGCGCGUGCUGCGGAGGAGGGAGGCUCAACGCGGAGAUCGACUGCUCGGCGAGCUCGAACCUUUGCACCGACCGCGACGGCUACGUGUUCUGGGACAAGGUCCACGGGACGCAGGCCGCCUACCAGCGAGCCGUUGCCGCCAUGUUCGACGGCGCGGGGGUGACAAAGUUCACGGAGCCCGUCAGCUUCGGGCAGUUGAUCACCGGGAAACAGCCAGCGCCGGUUGCCGUGUUAGAUAAACCGGAGCGUCCGUACGUGGGUCUGGAGGCUGAGAUCUAGCCAAGGGAAGGGAACUCGGAGGAUUCUUUUGCAGUGUUCGGUGCAGUACAUCAUCAACUCCUCUGUUGAGCCAUCGAUGUCAUUCCUGCCAUCGAAAUUAAGAUGGAACGCUACUCCCUUAUGUUCGUGCGUCCAAACUACCCCUUGCCUCAUGUUCCCUCCCUUAUGUCUCAUGCAUUAACUUAAUCAAAUCGUACUAAAACCUUAAUUAAAUAAAUCAAAACUUUUCUGGUCUUCCUUUACACAUAUUCAAAUCAA